rnacentral:lncRNA from 1 species
UACAAGUGAUGCUAAGUGCUGUGAGGAAGUUUACAGGGUGACAGGAGAGACAACAAGAGGAGGGACCUACUCAGAGAGGGUGGUAUGGGACAGACUCUCUGUACAGGUGACAUUACGCUAAACCCAGAAGGAUGAGGAGGAGCCAUGCAGAAUGUAGCUGAGCUGGGGAUGCACUCUAGCAAGAAGCGAUGUGACAAAGGCCCUGAGACCUGAAAGGGGCAAUGCUGGAAUGGAAAAUAGGAAUUGGAAAACGGGAGGUGGAUAUGGGACAUGUUGUAGCUGAGGGGCCAGUGGGCACCCAGAAGAAGAUACCAAGGCAGUUCUGGAAACACAGGACUUGAGCUCAGAAGAGAGGAUUGCCUGCAUGGAGGAGAUAAGGGAAGCAAUGCAUUUGGCAGGAUUGCCCAGGGGAGUGAUCUAAGAUACACAGACACAUAAGACAUAGAAGCUGAACCAAAAGAUCCCCGGGGUGUGCAGGGUCAGCCCCGGGAGUCCUCAGCCCCACACCACCCUCUCUGAGUAGGUCCCUCCUCUUGUUGUCUCUCCUGUCACCCUGUAAACUUCCUCACAGCACUUAGCAGCAGCCUGUGAACUGAGGAGCAGAAUUGUGAAUUGAGGUAGUGGAGGACAGAGAGCCUGACAACAGGAGUUCCUGUGGGGAUUUCAAGGCUGAAGAUGAUCAGAGAGGGGGCAACACCAAGGUAGGGAAUGAGAUCAGGUAGCAACAUUCAGUUCACCCCAAAUCAUAUCCAUUGCACAAGAGCAUGGGCAGCCUGGUGCCAGCAAGAGCCAAGGAUGGAGCCUUAGGAAACAAAAGGAGGGAGGGCCUGGGGACAGAUGCUCCCCAGGCUGAAGCGGAUACAGACGGCCCUGCUGGUGAAGAACACAAACCGGAAUUCCCUAUUUCAGCUGUUUUGUAUGAAAGCUAGUGCUGCCCAAGUCAAAAUGCAUGAUGUGUUCAGAGAAAAUGCUGACCUUCUGUUCUCCCACAAGUGAGCUGAGCAGGGAUAGAGAACGGAGUUGCUCUGGAGAAGUCUACAACAAAAUUAAUGGCUCAGAAAGGCUGAGUGUGAUGACAGCUGCUUUUCCUCAGUUUUCUUUCCUGGACUUGAGACACUUUCUUUUCCCGUAAGACUUGCUGGUUGUUGCUAAAGGGCAACACAACACAUGCAAACUUUUAAAUUUGCGAGAAUCAGAAACAGAAAUUCCUCUUUGGAACACUGCUGCAGAUGACGGCAAAGCCAAGAUGCUGUGGGACUCCCUGAAGAGGAGAUGUACCAAAACUCUGCGUCCUUAGAAGACAGCCCACUUCAUGCAGUGUUUUUGGGUAUCCACAGCAGCCUAACAAAAACGGCAGCCGAGGCCUUUCAGUUAAAGCCGCUGAUGCACAGCCCGUAAUUUCCAUAGUCCCUCUAGCUGUAGAAGCUUCUCUCUACACCAACAAUGCAGGUCAAGAAUCUGAACUUAAAUGACUGAUUUUGCCACGUUUUCUACUUUCACUUGGUAAUUCUUACAGAAACCGAAAAAAACAAUUUCACUAAGUGCUUCAUUUAUCUGUAUCUACACGUGGACUUAGGAGGGUCCUCUCAGUACAUAAAAUAUCUUUUUUUUUUUUGGUGAGGAAGAUUGUUGCUGAGCUAACAUCCAUGACAGUCUUCCUCCAUUUUGCACGUGGGUCAGUCGCCACCACAGCACGGCUUGAUGAGCAAUGUGUAGGUCCGUGCCUGGGAUCCAAACUCAUGAACCCUGGGCAACCAAAGUGGAGCACCUAAACUCAACCAUUACGCCACCGGGCAGCCCCAAAAUAUCUUAAAAUUAUAAUACCCUAUUUUAAGCUGAUAACAACUUAACUUCAACAGAAUUCCUAAACUUCACAUUUUUACUUCUCCCUCUCACAUUUUAGGUUAUUAUUGUUACAAUUUACAUAUUUUUAAUAUUGUGUAACUAAUAACACAUUAUUGUAGUUACAGCUACUUUUACUACAUUCCUUUUUUUUUUUACUUUUAAACUACAGUUCUAAUGAAUUAUGCACCGCUUCCAUAUAAGAGAAUCUAACUUGGCUGUAUACUUACCAUCACCAAUAAGAUUUACGUACCUUUUUACGUUUUUAUGAUGUUACUGAAAGUUUGGUCUCUGAUCCCGAUGCCAAUCCAAGUAAAGAGAACUGAGUCUUGGGAGAAAAAGGAAAGGCUUUACUUUGCCAGGCAGAGGGAGCAAAGCAAGGGCCAGUGCCCCAAAAGUUGCUGGCUCUCUAUUAAGAAAUGGGUAAGGGUUUUCAUUUGGGGUUUUCGGUAGGGGAGGGGGCCGUGGUCUUCUUGGUCAGCGUUUUCCCAUGGGCCUGUGUCUGGGCUGCUUCCAGGGAGACAGGAUUUUUCAGCUGAGUGUCCUUGGCUGUUUAUCUCCAUGGUAGAAGGCAGACUCUGAGGUCAGGACGCCGAGGAGUGGGCCUGGGAAGCUUUGGUCUCUUGAUAUUCUUUGCACAUUAGUUUCUCUCUAAGAGAACUUCCAGGUCCUGGGAUUAGACACAACUUUGGUGGGAGCCCAGGGUGAGGCCACGUGGGCUUGAACAAUUUCUAACUUGUUUGGCCCUAUAGCUCAGGGAGUCAGAGGCUAAAAAAACAAGCAUUUACAUAUGAGCAUAAUCUAAGACCCAGGGACCUGGGAAUGUGUGUGUUUGGUUUUAACCCACAUGUGCCAGGUUCACCGUAGGGGAACUGAUAUCAGGGCUGAUAUCGACUGAGAACUGGGAACAAUGUCACCCGUUGUGGCCAGGGGAAGCUCAAGGUCAGCGGGCGGCUCCCCUCGCUCCAACAGGGUCUGCCCCUUCUGGGACUCUUAGCAGCAUCUCCUGUGAACAGCUGUCAGCUGUCCUCCUCCCAGGGCACAAAUCAGGAAGACUCCCAUCUAGCCAUCCGAAAGCCACUGUGUCAGUGGCGCCCACCCCAGAGCAACAUGUGCCAGGCCCAUAUUUCUCAGAAAUCUGUCGCUGGCUCAGCUCUGUCCUCUCAGCCCGGAGGACGGGAGUGGACACCACAGGCCCAGACUUCCAAGUCUGUCAGGGGCUCAGCGCCGUCCUCUCAGCCGGAGGACGGGAGUGGACACCACAGGCCCAGACUUCCAAGUCUGUCAGGGGCUCAGCGCCGUCCUCUCGGCCCGGAGGACAGGAGUGGACACCACAGGCCCGAACUUCCAAGUCUGUCAGGGGCUCAGGGGCCAUCCUCUCAGCCCGGAGGACGGGAGUGGACACCACAGGCCCGAACUUCCAAGUGUGUCGCGGCUCAGUGCCGUCCUCUCAGCCCGGAGGACGGGAGUGGACACCACAGGCCCAGACUUCCAAGUCUGUCGGGCUCAGGCCGUCCUCUCGCCCGGAGGACGGGAGUGGACACCACAGGCCCGAACUUCCAAGUCUGUCAGGGGCUCAGGGGCCAUCCACUCAGCCCGGAGGACGGAGCGCGGCCGCCCUUCCUCCCACGCCUCCUCAGGCCCCCGCCUACUGGGCAAGCCGACCCCGCGCAGUUCACCAGUUCAACGACCGCCAGGCUUCUCGGCCUCUGACCGAUGGGCCGUGGGAUCUACUAACGGGAACUGCUGCAAGAGAAACUGAGGCACGCCGAACGCUCUUCUGUUUGUUUGAGUAAAAACGACCCCAUCCGGCAGUGUCACGCGGAGACGCUGGGAUCACCGGCCAACAGGGGCUGGACACAGACUUCUGCCGAGAAGAGGCGACAUGAGGGAAGGAGGCGCGGGCGGCGCUGCCUCUGAGGCCGGGCUGGCUGUCGGCAGGCCGUCCUCGGUUCCCCGCGUUAACCCUGAGGCGCCCGCGGGCCAUCGGCACGGCAGCCACACUCGGAGGGCGCCCGGGAGCUGACGUAAGCACGUAACGCGGACGCGCCAGGCCGCGCUCCCUCGAAGGCCGGCAGGCCGCUGGAAGGUCGAGCGCCCCGCUCUCUAGCCCGCCCCAACUGGGGCCCGGGGGCCGGGCGCGCCUGCACACGGAGGGACAGCGGCUCUCGGACGGGACGGCGGCGCCUACUCACCGUGCCCAGCGCGCCAACCCAACAGGACCAAGUGCCCCCGCGGCGCUGGGGCCUGGCGGCGCCAGGCCGGGCCCCCGAGGCCGGCCUCGUGGAGGGGCGAGGAGCGGGGGCGCUGCCUCGGGAGCUCGCCCGGACGGCCCAGGGCCCGCCGCCCCAGGGGCUCGACUCCAGGCCCGCUGGAGGGCCUCGCCGCGGUGGACUCCGGGCGGGCUGCACCCAGGUGGGGCACAGCAGGACCUGGACCGGAAGCUGGGGCGCGAGGACGGGAGGCGGCCGCUCCGGGAAGGCCGCUAUCCUGAGGCGGCCAAGUGACCGGACGUGGGCCUCGUGCAGGGGUCAGUCGGAGCCUCCCUGGCACAGCAGAGGCCUCGAGGUGUGGGCAGGCGGCGGCUCACCGGAAGCUGGGCCAGAAGCUCCCUCCACAUGCCGCCGGAAUCCCAGCGGCCAAAGGGUGGGGGGCAUGGGAGGUGAUGACUGCUGGCUCUUAAAACUUCCCCACCCCGCCCCCCCACCCCCGCGCCGGAAGUGACGCACGUUACUCUGCUCGCCCCUCAUUGGCCAAGGGAAAUCAUGUGGCCACACCUUCCUUCAAAAGGGCAGCGCGGGCCGCCCAGCGCUCCUGGACCGGGUGGUGGUGAGGGCACCAGCGUCUGCCCACGUGCCUGCCCUGCCUGUUCAGCCUGGUGGGAAUCCCCGUCCAGGAGUGCAAGCCGGUGGGAACCAACUGCCUGCUCGAUUUACUUCAUCCUUGAAGUGCUGCCCGAUGGUAAAAGAUGGAUUUCCACAGUGUGGCUUCUGGUCAGCUGCUCAGCAGAGGAGGAACCGGAGCCCACCUCAGCCCCUCUGGCCUGUCCUGGCCACAAAAAUCCCCCCAGCCUCUUGCACACCGAGGGGUGUGCUGUGUCUGGAGAGGCGUCGUGAAUCCGAGUAGUUCUGGAGAGCCGUGCCCUCCAGGAGGUGCCAGGAAACACUCCACAGGAAGUCUGGGGCUGUAGGGCCUGCUGAGGGAUGCCACCCACCGAGGAAAGGGGUGCAGAGCUCCCCACCCUUAGGAACACGGUUCAGGAAUUAUAUGUUCAGCACGAACGGGGCCCAUGUGAGAUCACGACCCUUCUGUCGUCUGUGUCGGUCAUCGUCUUUGAAGAUGGGCUCAUGACCCACUUGUUCAUUCUCCUGGACCAGCCAUCUUUCAAUCAUUCGUCAACAAUCUAGUAUUGUGUAAGGGGUGAGAAGCUUUGGGAAGGAAGUCCCUUUGGGAGAAGCAAAGAUGUUU